UACGUAGGGGGCGAGCGUUGUCCGGAAUUAUUGGGCGUAAAGAGCGUGUAGGCGGUUCGGUAAGUCUGUCGUGAAAUCCUGGGGCUCAACCUCGGGCGUGCGAUGGAUACUGCAGGGCUAGAGUCCGGAAGAGGCGAGUGGAAUUCCUGGUGUAGCGGUGGAAUGCGCAGAUAUCAGGAGGAACACCGAUGGCGAAGGCAGGUCUCUGGGCAUUAACUGACGCUGAGGAGCGAAAGCAUGGGGAGCGAACAGG
rnacentral:rRNA from 1 species